rnacentral:rRNA from 1 species
GACGAACGCUGGCGGCGUGCUUAACACAUGCAAGUCGAACGAAGUGGCGAACGGGUGAGUAACGCGUAAUCAACCUGCCCUUCAGAGGGGGACAACAGUUGGAAACGACUGCUAAUACCGCAUACUGAAGGAGGGGAUUGCGUCUGAUUAGCUAGUUGGAGGGGUAACGGCCCACCAAGGCGAUGAUCAGUAGCCGGUCUGAGAUGAGGAACGGCCACAGUGGGACUGAGACACGGCCCAGACGCCUACGGGAGGCAGCAUGUUGGCAUCUUCCGCAAUGGAUGUAUGUCUGAUGUAGACACGCCGCUUGAGUGAUCACGUCUUUCGGGUUGUAACUCCUUGUUAAUCGGGACGCGGUACCGGAAUAGAAAGCCACGGCUAACUACGUGCCAGCAGCCGCGGUAAUAC